rnacentral:rRNA from 1 species
GACGAACGCUGGCGGCGUGCUUAACACAUGCAAGUCGAACGGAAAGGCCCUGCUUUUGUGGGGUGCUCGAGUGGCGAACGGGUGAGUAACACGUGAGUAACCUGCCCUUGACUUUGGGAUAACUUCAGGAAACUGGGGCUAAUACCGGAUAGGAGCUCCUGCUGCAUGGUGGGGGUUGGAAAGUUUCGGCGGUUGGGGAUGGACUCGCGGCUUAUCAGCUUGUUGGUGGGGUAGUGGCUUACCAAGCCUUUGACGGGUAGCCGGCCUGAGAGGGUGACCGGCCACAUUGGGACUGAGAUACGGCCCAGACUCCUACGGGAGGCAGCAGUGGGGAAUAUUGCACAAUGGGCGGAAGCCUGAUGCAGCAACGCCGCGUGCGGGAUGACGGCCUUCGGGUUGUAAACCGCUUUCGCCUGCGACGAAGCGUGAGUGACGGUAAUGGGUAAAGAAGCACCGGCUAACUACGUG